rnacentral:lncRNA from 10 species
UCUGCCCGCCUCAGCCUCCCAAAGUGCUGGGAUUACAGGCAUGAGCCUCGGCGCCCAGCCCACCACAUCUUCUUUAUCCACUCAUUAGUUGGUGGGCACUUAGGCUCAUAGGCAGAAGGGACUGAGACAAGACUUUGGACUUGGACUUUGAAGUAAAAUGUUGGAAUGAAUUAAGACUUUGGGGGACUCUUGGGAAGGAAUGAUUGUAUUUUGAAAUGUGAGAACAUGAGACUUGGAAGGGACCAGGGGCAAAAUGACAUGGUUUGGCUCUGUGUCCCCACCCAAAUCUCAUAUGGAAUUGUAAUUCCCAGUGCUGGGGGAGGGAUCUGUUGGGGGUGAUUGGAUCAUGGUGGCAGAUUUUUCCCCCUUGCUGUUCUCAUGAUAGUUAGUGAGUUCUCAUGAGAUCUGGUUGUUUAAAAGUAUGUAGCACUCUCCCUUCACUCUCUCUCCUUCUCCACCAUAUGAAGAAUAUGCUUGCUUCUCCUUUGCUGUUCUGCCAGGCUUGUAAGUUUCCUGAGGCCUACCUAACCAUGUUCCCUGGACAGCCUGUGAAACUGUGAGUCAAUUAAACCUCUUUUCUUCAUAAAUUACCCAGUCUCAGGUAGUUCU